GGCGAGUGGCGGACGGGUGAGUAACGCGUAGGAAUCUACCUCGUAGCGGGGGACAACCCGGGGAAACUCGGGCUAAUACCGCAUAAUCUCUUCGGAGCAAAGUUGGGGACCUUCGGGCCUAACACUAUGAGAUGAGCCUGCGUUGGAUUAGCUUGUUGGUGGGGUAAAGGCCUACCAAGGCGACGAUCCAUAGCUGGUCUGAGAGGACGACCAGCCACACUGGGACUGAGACACGGCCCAGACUCC
rnacentral:rRNA from 1 species